AAGGAGAUAAAUCUACCUAAAACCCUGGGAAGCAGGUGAAACAGCUCCUCUGUUUGAAGGGAUGGAAAGUGAUUUUUUCCUGAAUCUCUCAUCAGAAAGCAUGCGCUCCUGUUGAUUGCCAUUUCCUAGGCAGUGAAUGAGCAGCGAUGAACUGCCAGUUGCCAUGUCAGAGCCCCUCGCCACACCAGCCACCAAUUUCUGAGCCCUGAUAACCUUUAUGGGAUGUUCUGUGGAGGAGGAUCGCACUGCUGAUGUGAUGAUUCAGAACCUGUACCUACUGAGUGAUGCAUUUCAUUAGUGUCUAUCCAGCACAGGGGGUCAAUUUCCAUCAUUGGCUUGAAAUGGGGAAGCAGCAGGUCUCUGCUUGCCUUGUCUCCCCCAACUUAUUUUGUUCUACUAGAACUCCAGAAAUUCUGUCCUGGAGCAAAAAAAAACCUACUCAAUGAAAGUUUCAUCUGAACUAGUACACUCCUGUGAAAAGUUAUAAUUUCAAUAUAUUGGCAUUUUUGGCAGAGUUGACUAGUGCUACCCAUGAUUACAUCUAUACCAGUAUAAGUACCGAGUGCAGUAAGUAGCUGAGUAAUCACAUAGUUGUUAGCUAAGGCUUUAUUUUAUUAUAUUUUGAUGUAUUACUUCUUAAUAAAUUGGAACUUAUAUGUGAUGUAUUGCUUAAU
rnacentral:lncRNA from 1 species